rnacentral:rRNA from 1 species
UGGGGAAUAUUGCACAAUGGGCGCAAGCCUGAUGCAGCCAUGCCGCGUGUAUGAAGAAGGCCUUCGGGUUGUAAAGUACUUUCAGCGGGGAGGAAGGGAGUAAAGUUAAUACCUUUGCUCAUUGACGUUACCCGCAGAAGAAGCACCGGCUAACUCCGUGCCAGCAGCCGCGGUAAUACGGAGGGUGCAAGCGUUAAUCGGAAUUACUGGGCGUAAAGCGCACGCAGGCGGUUUGUUAAGUCAGAUGUGAAAUCCCUGGGCUCAACCUGGGAACUGCAUCUGAUACUGGCAAGCUUGAGUCUCGUAGAGGGGGGUAGAAUUCCAGGUGUAGCGGUGAAAUGCGUAGAGAUCUGGAGGAAUACCGGUGGCGAAGGCGGCCCCCUAGACGAAGACUGACGCUCAGGUGCGAAAGCGUGGGGAGCAAACAGG